CUAAUAGCCUUAGGGAAUUUCCUUUGUAUUAACUACUUUAUUUUCUGUUGCUAGCUGUUAAAAUUAUUUGUCUUUAUCUUUGACAUUUUAAUUAUUAUGUGUCAUGGUGUGGUUCUCCUUGGGUUUAUCUUGUUUGGAACUCUGUGCUUCCUGAACCUGGAUGUCUAUUUCCUUCCCUAUGUUAGGGAGGUUUUCUGGCCAUUGCUCUGUUCUCCUUCUUGGACCCAUAUAAAGAGAAUGUUUGUGCUUGAUGUUGUCCAAGACAUUUUUUAGCCUACCCUCACUUUUUUUUUUCUUUUUUUGCUAUUCAGCUUCAGUGCUAUCCAUUAUCCUGUCUUCCAGAUCACUGAUCUGUUCUUCUGCAUCUUCUAAUCUGUUGAUUCUCUCUAUUGUAUUUUUCAUUUUAGUUAUUAUAUUAUUCAACUAUGAUUUUUUAAAAAAAAUGCUUUGUCUUUGUUGAAGGUCUCACAGAGUUCUUCCACUCUUCUCCCCAACCUGGCAGGCACAUUUAUGAUCAUUACUUUAAACUUUUUUAUCAGGUAUACAGCUUAUCUCCAUUUCAUUUAGUUCUUUUUCUGAGGUUUUUUCUUGUUCUUUCUUUUGGAGUAUACUCAUCUUUGCUUGACUUUCUGUAUUUGUUUCUAUGAAUUAGGUAUAACAGCUGUUCCUCCUUUAUGUCCAUUAUAUCAUCUACUAAAAUUUACUAAAUACUUAUUUGAUAAACUAGACUCUGGGUUCAAGGGACCAGAACCCAUCACUGCAGAACCAGCACCUAGUCUAUAUCUGGCUUAUACUGGGUAUUCAAACUGAAAAAUGGAGAAAUUAAUGACAUCUUUGUCAGUCCAUAGUUAGGACAUCUGUAAGAAUAUCCUCAAAGUUAAGACUAUGCUUUGGCAUUGAAGGAGAUAUGUGACAAGUUAGGAGUAGAGCCAUAAUUCAAUUAGAUUUAAACAUUUAGUAAGGGCCUCCUAUAUGCCAGAUGCUUACUAGGUAUUGGAGAUACAAAAAAUAAUGGAAUAUGGUUCCUCCAUUAGUGACCUAUUCAUGCAGCUCACAAAUAGUCAAUUCAAAGAAAAUGCUCCAGGAUGUCUGAGAAGAUGCUCUACCUGGAUGGGGAAUAUACUAAGUCUGCUCUAGGGAUUAGAAAGGGGGGAGCCCAAGACAAAAUAAGAGGUGAACAGAAAAGGAUUCAGUGAACCCAGAGUGUAUGCUCAAUUGUUGCUGCAUGUGUGGCCUGGGAGUCUUUGAUGGGACAAGGUCUGUAACAUUUAAGUUACCUUAGCCUAUCCAUAGUGUGUACUGCAUAUCUGUAAUUAUAUGGUAAUAUAAUCUGUAAUUAUAUUUAACCUCACUUAUCUGAAAAUUCAAAUAAGAACACAUAACGGUUGAUGAACUUCACUGAUUUAUUAAUGUCCAUCUACAUAACGGCAGGACUUUGACCUUCCAAAUAUUUUUAUUCUCUAAGGGGAGUCCCACUGCCCAUGGUCUUCUACCUCUCUCCACUCUGUAGACCUUUUGAAGGAGCAUCUCUUCACCAUGGCUGCCCCAACCCUUUGCGGGAACCUCCUCUCUGACUCCCUGGUGGACACAGCGGGCACUGCAGCCAUGUGUUGCUGCUCCAUGGUCCUCCACUCUUCCAAGUGGGGUAAAAGUCUUUCCCACUUUGAAUAACACUUGAUUAUAUGGGUGCAGAAUCAACACUGUUCAUGUCCAAAGUGUAGCUUGAAAACGGCCCUCAGCUUUGUUCUACAGACUCUCUAUAAAAAAUCAGACUUAAUUUUUUGGCCUGAUUUUAGUGUAGACAUUGCAGUGCUCCUUCUGAAUCCAGCCAAACAUCCACACACACAUAUUGUUCUUUCCCCAAAACCAGUUCACCAGCAUCAUUCCUCUUAGCUUAUGCCACGAUAACCACAGGCCUUGUGCCUAUUUCAUAGUAUAGGUUUUUGUUCCAGCCUCCAGCUGGCUUCUGAUGGGUCUUGUCUCCUAGUGUUCACUUCCUCAUGCAGUCAUCACCCAUAUUAUGCCAGGGUCAGUCUGUGUGAGAAAGCACACAGAAGAUAUGAUCAUACGCCUUGCCAAAGUUAGGUUAUAAAGGAAACUCUUUCUCUUAGAUCACCUGCUCUAGGAAAAACUAACGGCCAUGUCUUGAGCCUUGGAAAGAGGUCUUAUUGAUGAGGAACUAAGGACUUUAGCCAACAGCCAUGUGAGUGAGUCUUCUUGGAAACAGAUCUUCCAGGCCAAUCAAACCUUCCAGGGAUGUAGCACUGGCUGACAGCUUUACCGCAGCAUCAUGAGAGGCCUGUUUCAGAACCAUCCUGGCUAAGCCAGUCUCGGAUUCCUGACACUCAGAACUUCCCAGGCCUACUUGAUCUUGUCCGUUUGGCUCGGCUGGUGGAGGAAUAACAAGGGUCUUCCCAUCAUGCAACAUUCUGGGAUACAUCAUGACAGAGAAAUCUCAAAGCCCAGGUCAAUUAUAACAGAAGAUGUGCACCACCUCUGCCCCUGAACGUCUUCUGGGGCUGCAGUUGUUUAAAACUAAGUCACCUGAAAAAUGCAAGGAAAUGUGUGUCUGGUUCCUGGCUGGCUUUCUGCUUGUUUAGCAGGAUACAAAUAGCAGAAGACUAAUACUCCGUGUGUGUGGUUUGUGGUCAGGAAGAGGGAAUAAAGUUGGCAGCUACCUUAUUGUGCUGUAAUUACUUUUUAAUUAGAAUUCAUUGAAUACAGAUGGAUUCUUCCUGUUCUUUCGCCCACUGAUGUUUUUAAUAUUCCCACAUCAGAUAUUAUGAGGCAGUAGCCAGCAGUGAAUUACAUAAAAUAAUCCUGUAGCUGGUAGUGACUUACAGAAAGUAACCAACUUAACCAUUUGUCUUAGAUGAAAAAUGAUCUUACACCUUUUUGUGGAUUCUAUUGCUGGUUUGUUGAUAUAGUGUUUGUUUACUCUCGUUCCUGCAGGAAAAAAGUACCAUAGUUCUUGUAUCAAAUUACUGUAACUGACUGGAACAUUUUUAUUUCAAAUAAUGUACCAUCAUAUUUUUUUUUCAUGGUGACAUUGAUAAAUUUGCCGGAUUUCUCAUUUUUUUUCUCCCUCCUACCAAUGAAUAAUUUGAACCCAAACGUGAUUGGAAUGUACAAUUUCAUGCUGUUAUAAAAAAUCAUUGCUCAUCACAUUCUAAUUGUAACUAAGUUUGAACCUGAAUAGCUAUUUGCAGUAUUUUGAUAGAAAUAAGAAGUAAUUUCCAUUUUUUUGCUCCAGGGUCUCUCUACAUGAACUGACAUAUGAUGCAUUUUUGAAGUCACACUUAAUAAUUCUCUUUUCAUUAUAAACAACCGCACCCUUGUUGAAUAGUAAACCUCAAAUUAGGCUUACACAGGCCUAUGUAAUAUACCUAAGAAACAUGAUUUAUUCUAAUGUAAUAAUGGCAUAGAUUUAUAAAGCUUGACUACUCCAAUGCUCCUCGU